GACGUAGGGGGCGAGCGUUGUCCGGAUUCAUUGGGCGUAAAGAGCGCGUAGGCGGCCCGGAAAGUGGGGUGUGAAAACCCGAGGCUCAACCUCGGGCGUGCGCUCCAAACUCCCGGGCUUGAGGCAGGUAGGGGAGAUCGGAAUUCCUGGUGUAGCGGUGAAAUGCGCAGAUAUCAGGAGGAACACCGGUGGCGAAGGCGGAUCUCUGGGCCUGUUCUGACGCUGAGGCGCGAAAGCUAGGGGAGCGAACAGG
rnacentral:rRNA from 1 species